AGAGAAAGCACAGAUUGUUAGACAGAACUUCGGUCUAGAUGUAAGACGUUUGUUUUUAUGUCUGUCAGUUGAGACUUUCAAACGUUUUCAUAGCCAGGUGACUGUCCCAUAUGUUUGCUUCAUCUCUUGAGACUGUGUGACAUGAGUAAUAUUUGCAAAUAGUAAAUCAGGGAAUUAAAUUUCUCCCUUCAGCUUGUUGUGCUCCCUUCCAAGUCAUAGUGGGAAGCAUAUUGCCCCAGAGACGAGGGAGGCGGUGAGACCGGGAAAGGAGUCGUUGCUAAGCCUGGAGUUUCAUGAAUUAAGUUGUUGUCCCUUCGGCAAGACAGUUUAGCUGUAUGUCACCAGAAAGACAUACACCAUAAAGACCAGAACCAAUACAUUUUAUCAAUCAAUCUUAAGUACCUAGGUUAAGAGAGAAAAAGUGGGGCCUGGAAUGCCGGGUCGCUGGACUGUGGGAGACAAGGCCGUGGGGUGCGGGAAGCCGGUGCACAGAGGUCGGUGCAGGAAGUCGCGCUGCUCACAACAGGGUGCACUGGGCCGGGUGAGGGUGGCAGCAGGUGCAGGCACGGACUGAAACGCUGAGGCGGGUUUGGGAGGACCGAGGGCACCCAGGGAAGGCGGGUGGCUCCGGAUGUUUGCUUCGGGAAGGGCGUCAGGGCGGUGCAGCUUCCUGGGAGCCCCGGCCUUUGGCCCAGUGUUCCCGGAGGCGCACAUAGAGGGGCCAGUUGAGGACACACGGGUCAGGGGGCUGCUUCUGCGGAGAGGGGUGUGUGUCCACGGCCCAGGGCCGCAGGCCGCACCCCGGCGUCUGGCUGGGGCCGCGGAGACUCAGCAGUGUCCAUGCGACAGAAGCAAACCCAAGGGCGGGCCCAGGGCUCUGCUGCUGAGGUCAGUCGGGGCGUCCUGAGCUACACACACGACUCCUGUAAGAUCACAGCAGCGUCUCUGGCUCGGGCAGGGGGCCAGGCCCGGAGCGAAGCACCCAGUUUCCUUGCUGGCACUGAGGGUGCAGGAGGCCACCUGGAAGGGAGGCUGGGGGCCUCAGGAGGAGCAAAGUGGCCUCUGGCUGACACCAGAAAGGUAAUGGGGUACACCUGUAGCAGGGAACCGGAUGUUGCCAGCGACACGAGUCAGGUUGAAAUCUGAUUCUUCCUUGGAGCUUCCGGCUAAGAGUAGGUCCUGCUGACUUCUGGACUUGGGUCUCACAAUACCCGGACCAGAGAGCGCGGCUGGGCCCGCCUUGACCUCUGACCUACGGAACUGUGCCCUCAUAAUGAGUGUUGUCUUAAGUCACUGUUUGUGGGAAUUUUUAAAAUAUCAAUAGAAAAGGAAUAUACAGGGCCACUAGCAGGUGCAUAUGCGGCCAUUGACAAAUUUACAGAAACUGUUAGAGGAACAAAUAUGAAUGGAGAGUGCUGACUGACCGUCUCGGGGGAAUAAGUAAAAAUAUGAACGUGAAAGUUUUACCCCUUGUUAUCUGCUAGCACAGGGUUGGACAAGAGAAUCACUCUGGCUGGUUCCAAGUAUAAAGUCAUGUACUACAGGACAUAAGGAGGUUUGCAGAAUGUUCAGUAAGACCACAGAAACCAGGCUUUGACCAUGUACUAAGGUGAUCUGUGAUAUCGAAGGCAUAAUCCUGAAUCUAAUUUUUUAUUCUCUAUGUGUUGCUGACAUUAACAACAAAUCUUUAUAGUUAAGACUUCAACCAGGAUCAUUUCAUGGUAAUUUUUCUGAUGUCAUUUUGGCACCAUUCUUUACUGCAUAGUAGGAACUGAAUUCAUCUCAUCUAUAAUAUGAAUAUAUUAUUGGAAAUUACCUUUGUAACAAAUGACAACACCUGACAUUCUCAGAGUAAAGCCAUAAGAAUAUUAA